UCGUCAGCCCAAAGAGCAAUCAGGGCUCUCCGUCCCGUGGGAAGUCCAAGGAAAACCCUCCUCCGUCCAGGUCUCAUAAGGCUGAUACAACAGAUGAAUCAAAUGAUAUGACCUAUGCUCAGCUGUGCAUCCUGACACAAAGACAGGGGCAGGUGAAACUUUCAGCUUCCAGGCAGAAAAGUCCCUCCUGAGAACCUACCCUGGUGCCUAUCAGCCUGGGAAGAUCCAGACUAUGAAUUCCAUGGAGAAGGGUGGAUUCAGAAAUUUCAUAUAACAAAAUCUGUCUCAAGUGCACAACCAUUGUGCAGACAUAAUCAGUCUCUAGGAAAUUCUGAAAAUUUUGGGGACACUGAUUCUGUUGUCCCUGCAUUUUAUAAAUAAGGGAAGUGCUUGUCAGUGACCAACAGAUAAAGUGAGAAAAGAGAAGAGGAAUAAAGAAAGUUUUUGGUUUUGUGUU